GCCUGACUGGCUCAGUUGGUAGAGCAUACCAACUCUUAAUCUCAGGGUUGUGAGUUCAAGCCCCACGUUGGGCA
rnacentral:tRNA from 1 species